AUUUAUGUGAGAUCCAGAUAAUUUUAGGAUUGGUCACCCUCUGAAAAGUUGGAACGUCAUAUUUGAUAUCAGAACCAAUUAGCAGGUGAAAGUAUGAGAUGUGUUUUGACUCAGUCAGGGUUAUACAGCGGAGAGAGCGAGACUCUCAUACUGUUGACUAUUGUGGCUACGUAGAGCACGGCUCUCCCAUAAGAUCGAUUUAGGCUAGCGAGACGAGUCUCAUAUCAUCUAAUACUUGUGAGUCUGAGUCUGACAAGAACGUUAGGACUUAAAGAGGAGAAGAAUGUGAGACCUUAGAUAGUUCUAAAAUGGAUAAUCCGCC
rnacentral:lncRNA from 1 species